GAUGAAGAACGCAGCGAAAUGCGAUACGUAGUGUGAAUUGCAGAAUUCAGUGAAUCAUCGAAUCUUUGAACGCACAUUGCGCCCUUUGGUAUUCCAAAGGGCAUGCCUGUUCGAGCGUCAUUUGUACCCUCAAGCUUUGCUUGGUGUUGGGCGUCUUUUGUCUCCAGUUCGCUGGAGACUCGCCUUAAAGUCAUUGGCAGCCGGCCUACUGGUUUCGGAGCGCAGCACAAGUCGCGCUCUUAGCCAGCCAAGGUCAGCGUCCAGCAAGCCUUUUUUCAACCUUUGACCUCGGAUCAGGUAGGGAUACCCGCUGAACUUAAGCAUAUCAAUAAGCGGAGGA
rnacentral:misc_RNA from 1 species